GGUAGCAUAAWCAUUUGUCUUUUAAUUGGAGGCUYGAAUGAAUGGUUUGACGAGAGAUAAUCUUUCUUUACUUAAUUUUUAUGAAUUUAAUAUUUUAGUUAAAAAGCUUAAAUAUUUUUGUGGGACGAGAAGACCCUAUAGAAUUUUAUUAAUUUGUUCAUUUAUUAUUCUGUUAGUUUUUUUGGAUAUAUUUAAUAAUUAAUUUGAUUGGGGUGAUUAUGAAAUUAUUUUAACUUUUAUUAUUAAUUUUUCAUUAAUUAAUGUUUGUUUAUGAUCCUAUAUUAUGGAUUGUAUAAGUUUAAAUUACCUUAGGGAUAACAGCGUAAUUCUUUUGGAGAGUUC
rnacentral:rRNA from 1 species